CAGGAUGUUUUUGCAUAAAAAUCCAACAUUUGCCCCUAAGCUGAAGAUGUAACUAAAUGAAAGGAUUUCUUUUUUUGAUGAACAACAGACAGAGGGGAUCAUUGAUAGACUUCAAGAAGUCACAAAGAUUGACAUGAAAGAGUUAACCAAUACAUCCUACAUUUUGGAAGUAUUAACUCCUGAGGUAACCCUAUUAAUCAUAAAAAAAACAGAGGGCUUCCACAGGUUCCAGGCAGAAACGGUUUUGCACACAAAGGGACAUUUGGC